ACUUAAAUUGAAGAGUUUGAUCAUGGCUCAGAUUGAACGCUGGCGGCAGGCCUAACACAUGCAAGUCGAGCGGUAACACAGGGAGCUUGCUCCUGGGUGACGAGCGGCGGACGGGUGAGUAAUGUCUGGGAAACUGCCUGAUGGAGGGGGAUAACUACUGGAAACGGUAGCUAAUACCGCAUAACGUCGCAAGACCAAAGAGGGGGACCUUCGGGCCUCUUGCCAUCAGAUGUGCCCAGAUGGGAUUAGCUAGUAGGUGGGGUAAUGGCUCACCUAGGCGACGAUCCCUAGCUGGUCUGAGAGGAUGACCAGCCACACUGGAACUGAGACACGGUCCAGACUCCUACGGGAGGCAGCAGUGGGGAAUAUUGCACAAUGGGCGCAAGCCUGAUGCAGCCAUGCCGCGUGUAUGAAGAAGGCCUUCGGGUUGUAAAGUACUUUCAGCGAGGAGGAAGGCAUCAAGGUUAAUAACCUUGGUGAUUGACGUUACUCGCAGAAGAAGCACCGGCUAACUCCGUGCCAGCAGCCGCGGUAAUACGGAGGGUGCAAGCGUUAAUCGGAAUUACUGGGCGUAAAGCGCACGCAGGCGGUCUGUCAAGUCGGAUGUGAAAUCCCCGGGCUCAACCUGGGAACUGCAUUCGAAACUGGCAGGCUAGAGUCUUGUAGAGGGGGGUAGAAUUCCAGGUGUAGCGGUGAAAUGCGUAGAGAUCUGGAGGAAUACCGGUGGCGAAGGCGGCCCCCUGGACAAAGACUGACGCUCAGGUGCGAAAGCGUGGGGAGCAAACAGGAUUAGAUACCCUGGUAGUCCACGCCGUAAACGAUGUCGACUUGGAGGCUGUUCCCUUGAGGAGUGGCUUCCGGAGCUAACGCGUUAAGUCGACCGCCUGGGGAGUACGGCCGCAAGGUUAAAACUCAAAUGAAUUGACGGGGGCCCGCACAAGCGGUGGAGCAUGUGGUUUAAUUCGAUGCAACGCGAAGAACCUUACCUACUCUUGACAUCCACGGAACUUAGCAGAGAUGCUUUGGUGCCUUCGGGAACCGUGAGA
rnacentral:rRNA from 1 species